CGUGCCACCAUAAAUACCCUUUCGCCCACCUCCGCCAUCCUUCUUCUCCGGAGGAUCGAUGGCGGACGCUCCGUUCCUCAUCAAGACAUCGGCACAGCACAGCCAGAGCCCGGGGAAACAUCAGCAACAAGAACUAAUUCAUGAGCGGCCGGUGCCGGGCAAUCCAAGAAAUAGAUCCGUCUCCACAUCCACCACGUCCUGGCUCUGCUCCGCCAAGGUCGCCGGAGCAGGGGGCGCCGCCAAGGUCGCCGGAGCAGGGGGCGCCGCCAACGCAAGGUGCUGUUCCUUCUGGCACUGCACAGGUUAACCAGGGUAGCAGAUUAGAGACGCAUCAUUUAUAGGACGGGUGAUCUCUGCUGGGAUGCACAUAGGAUAUCACAUGAGUCAUGAGGAACGCGUUCAGGGUAAUGGUUUGCUGGGGUAGCGACGUUACCUUCUGCCUCAACGUAGAGAGCUGCUCUUCAAACCGCCGAGUCUGCCAUGAAAGACAAUUAAGCACCAUUACAUGGUUGUGCAAUCUUAUGCGCACAGAUAGUAUAUUUUUACUACUCUUUCAUACUGUGCUAACCUUCACUGCCCUGAUGCCUAGAAGGCUUUUUUCAAUUUUGAGCUCCAAGCUUUGCAGUUCUUCAAUAGAGCAUUCUUCCAAAUUUUGACCCAAAAGUUUGCUGCAUCUCAGUGAUACCAGAUGGUGACAACUCAGUUUUGGCUAGUUACAUGGAUAGCAGUCUCUUGGAAAGCCCAAGUGGUUACCUUUUGCAGGCUUCAAGAGCAUCAAGCUUCUUUGACAAGCCCUCAGCAUCAGCUUUUAUUUUCUGCAGUUGAGGUCAAAAGGAUAAUACCUGAACUAAGUUAGUACUAUGUAUUAUCAAACAUGAAAUAACUGCUAGAACGUACUAUCGUAUCAUCUGCUUUUAAAUGUCAGCUAUACUAAUUGAACUGUGCUGCUUUAGUCCAUGAUGGUUUUCACAUUUCAGUAGCACCAUCAUCAGCUGGGAAAUGGUUGCAAACCAAAUCAAGCAUUGCAAACGUAGGCUUCUCAGUGCUGCGUUGCUGACUAGUUUAAUCUCUCACAAACAUUGUGUACCUGUCCAACUGCCGGUAAGCCAGUCCAGUCGUUGGACAAAUGAGAAAAGGUAGUGCAAUUGUACAACACGACGGCCUUGAUUGCAAAGUCACAUUGCUCAAGUGUGCAACAUCAUGGUGUGGUGAAACCAGUAGGAGUAUCAAGUUGUAUUACUCAAAGUCAUCGCCAAUGAUGAUCAUUUCAUCAACAUCGAGAAGAGCCCAACCAUGGGAGGAAAGGCGGAAAAAGAGCGGAAGUUCAUGAUUGCUCUUUGAAAAACUAGUAGCAGUGAUCGCUAAGGAGAAGAGGUCAACUCAGGAACGAGGAACUUGCUUAAGGCCAUAUUUAGGGCGACGAAGACAACGCAUCACGGCAUUAGGAAAUACGUAGGUGGUGGAUGCAUGUAGACCUACUCAUGCAACUCAACGUUAAGAAAGACAUUAUUGUCAUCAUGUUGAGGGGCAGACUAGUGGCAAACGUAAGCCACAACGAGAAGGGUACAAAAAUAGUGUUCAUGUGAAUCGCAUGAGCAAAUGUCUCAUUUUAGUCAUGACCAUGCACCUACUGCACCUACUGAAAGUCAUGAACCAUAAAAUGAGCCUUGUAUAGCUCAAGAGAACCGCUAGAGUGAAUCUUAAUCUUGUAGACCCACUCACUAGUGUUGGGCAGAACAUGAGGAAGGGAAACAAGAUCCCCACAUGCCAGUGUUUUCAAGCAGGAAUCUCCUCUACCAACAUAUGAGGCCAUUCGGGAGGAACAACAUCACCAUAAGAAAACUUGGCUUGAGAUGAGCGAUGACAGAAAAACUGUAGCAAUCAACGACCAAAAGCGGGCGUGAGGGCAUGGAAACCAUGGGUAGGAGGCGGCGGUGCAUCACCGGCAGAGGAUGAUGAAGCAGUCAAGGAAGAUAGCUCAUCAGCAGA